rnacentral:sRNA from 1 species
UGCUGAUGAUGAUAAG